rnacentral:misc_RNA from 1 species
UCGCCAAUAGCCCAUCGUGCAGUAAUGAAGUGCGAUGUAAAUGAACAACAACAACAACAACCUUAAUGUUUCAUUGAACAUUAAAUCCUGAAAUUUAUCUCUGUGAAUGAUCCCUUUACUUAAAGUUAAUACCGAAUUAAUUCUUUUUUCACACCUCCAGGCGUAUAGUUGAAUCUUUAAACCAAUAACUGAUAAAGCUUACACAAAUUAGCAGCUCGUUGGAGAAGAAGUUCGUAUUUUUCGGAGCUCCCAUUGCUUCCCUCCGAUUUUACGAAUAAUUUUUGUAUAUUUAAACUAUUUAACUAAUUUCUUGUGUAAAUGAUGAUAUGGUAUAUUUUAAACGUAUAACAAAUGCUUUUGGACUGUUAUUAGAGAUUUAAAGGCAAUUAAUUGUGCUACUUCAUAGAAUAGACAAUGUGGUGGACGAAAUGGUGGUUUGUUUACAUGAAGUGUACUGAUGAAAUGUGUGACCAAGUCUUAUAAGAUUGAAUUGAGAAACUCGUAGUAGUCUCUUUAAUUCCAACGUGGUCCCUGAUAUAGUGGAAGAUAUUGGUGUUAAAUUGAAACAAGAUAAAAUCUUGAAAAAGAACACCAAGAAACUUCGUUUUCGAUGUUUUUUCAAGAACUUGUUCAAAAGGAUGAAAAAAACGAAGAAAAAGGACCACUAGUGUUUUUCUUAAAGGUGAUUUCCUGCAUGACGAUUUAGGACUCGGAUUAUGGAUUUUCCAAUCAGAUUAUGGAUCAUAUUUGUAUUAUUUGCUAGGAACAUCGUUACAUAUAACAGUAACGAAUUAGGCCAAUCUCCGCAGCUAAUUAUAUCCUGUUUGGAGAGUCAGGCAUUUUGUUCGAAACAUUGUUAAGUAGGAAUUAGUAACAACUGUAAUUCCUCUUGUCUUAAGAACUAUGUUGAGUAUUGCUAACAAACAUCUUAUUUUUAAAAAAAUCUGCAUAAUUGUUUUGAAAUUUUUAGUCAAAUAAACAUGUUUCGAA